rnacentral:rRNA from 1 species
UGGGGAAUAUUGCACAAUGGGCGCAAGCCUGAUGCAGCAACGCCGCGUGAACGAUGAAGGUCUUCGGAUCGUAAAGUUCUGUUGCAGGGGAAGAUAAUGACGGUACCCUGUGAGGAAGCCCCGGCUAACUACGUGCCAGCAGCCGCGGUAAUACGUAGGGGGCUAGCGUUAUCCGGAUUUACUGGGCGUAAAGGGUGCGUAGGUGGUCUUUCAAGUCGGUGGUUAAAGGCUACGGCUCAACCGUAGUUAGCCUCCGAAACUGGAAGACUUGAGUGCAGGAGAGGAAAGUGGAAUUCCCAGUGUAGCGAUGAAAUGCGUAGAUAUUGGGAGGAAAACCAGUAGCGAAGGCGGCUUUCUGGACUGCAACUGACACUGAGGCACGAAAGCGUGGGUAGCAAACAGG